CGGUGAAUACGUUCCCGGACCUUGCACACACCGCCCCGUCAAGCCAUGGAAGCUGGGUGUACCUAAAGUCGGUAACCGUAAGGAGCCGCCUAGGGUAAAACUAGUGACUGGGGGCUAAGUCGUAACAAGGUACCC
rnacentral:rRNA from 1 species